UUGCAAGAAAAGGCGUGAUUUUUGGGUUAAAUUGGGGUUUUUCAAGAGAAAAUGUGUGAUUUUCAGUUAAAUUGGGGAAUCUCUAGGAGAAAAUGCCUGAUGUUUGCAUUAAACGUGUGAUUUUCGUAGAGAUAAUGCGUGACGUUCAGGUUACAUGGGAGAUUUUUGAAGAGAAAAUGCGUGAUUUUCGGGAUAAAUCAGGGAUUCUCGAAGAGAAAAUGCCUCAUUUUCGGGUUAAAUGGGGGACUUUGGAAGAGAAAUUGCAUUUUCUUCUGGUCAAAUGGGGGAUUUUCGAAGAGCAACUGCAUGAUUUUCGUUUACAUGUGAGAUUUUUGUAAAGGAAAUGCGCGAUUUUUGGAACAUGGGGGACUCUUGUAGCAAAAAAAGUUUGAUUUUGGGGUCAAACGGGGGAUUUUUGAAGAGCAGAAGUGUGAUUUUCACGUUAAAUGGGGAUUUUCCACGAGAAAAUGUGUGAAUUUGUGGAUAUGGGUAUUUUUGAAGAGAAAAUGUGUGUUUUUUGGGAUGAAUCAGGGAUUCUCGAAGAGAAAAUGCCUCAUUUUCGGGUUAAAUGGGGGACUUUGGAAGAGAAAUUGCAUUUUCUUCUGGUCAAAUGGGGGAUUUUCGAAGAGCAACUGCAUGAUUUUCGUUUACAUGUGAGUUUUGUAGAGGAAAUGCGUGAUUUUUGGAAACAUGGGGGACUCUUGUAGCAAAAAAGUUUGAUUUUGGGGUCAAACGGGGAUUUUUGAAGAGCAGAAGUGUGAUUUUCACCGUUAAAUGGGGGAUUUCCACAAGAAAAUGUGUGAAUUUGGGGGAUAAUGUGGUAUUUUUGAAGAGAUAAUGCAUGAUUUUGGGGUAAAUGUGAGAUUUUCCAAGAGAAAAGGCAAGAUUUCGGGUUGAAUGGGGACUUUGC
rnacentral:lncRNA from 7 species